rnacentral:rRNA from 1 species
AUUGAACGCUGGCGGCAGGCCUAACACAUGCAAGUCGAGCGGAUGAAGGGAGCUUGCUCCUGGAUUCAGCGGCGGACGGGUGAGUAAUGCCUAGGAAUCUGCCUGGUAGUGGGGGAUAACGUCCGGAAACGGGCGCUAAUACCGCAUACGUCCUGAGGGAGAAAGUGGGGGAUCUUCGGACCUCACGCUAUCAGAUGAGCCUAGGUCGGAUUAGCUAGUUGGUGGGGUAAAGGCCUACCAAGGCGACGAUCCGUAACUGGCCUGAGAGGAUGAUCAGUCACACUGGAACUGAGACACGGUCCAGACUCCUACGGGAGGCAGCAGUGGGGAAUAUUGGACAAUGGGCGAAAGCCUGAUCCAGCCAUGCCGCGUGUGUGAAGAAGGUCUUCGGAUUGUAAAGCACUUUAAUUUGGGAGGAAGGGCAGUAAGUUAAUACCUUGCUGUUUUGACGUUACCAACAGAAUAAGCACCGGCUAACUUCGUG